AUGUUGAUAGUAUAAAUAUUACAAUAGCCUUUCAUGCCAUCAAUAUAGAUCCCUCUAUUCAACAUA
rnacentral:tRNA from 1 species